rnacentral:rRNA from 1 species
UACGGGGGGGGCAAGCGUUGUUCGGAAUUACUGGGCGUAAAGAGCUCGUAGGUGGUUUGUCGCGUUGUCCGUGAAAACUCACAACUCAAUUGUGGGCGUGCGGGCGAUACGGGCAGACUGGAGUACUGCAGGGGAGACUGGAAUUCCUGGUGUAGCGGUGAAAUGCGCAGAUAUCAGGAGGAACACCGGUGGCGAAGGCGGGUCUCUGGGCCGAUACUGACGCUGAGGAGCGAAAGCGUGGGGAGCGAACAGG